ACUCGGGAGGACGCACGACGCAAGCGCUAGGGGAGGGCCCCGCGGAGUUGCCAUGGUUACAGGCGCCACGCUCUGCGCGGGCCGGCGUGCGCUUCUGGGGCGGGUAGCGGGCUCCGGAAGUGUGCAGCUGCCCGGGACCAUGGCGGUGCUUGCUGCUGGGGAUGGCGGCUUGCUCGGCCGGGCGACUAGUUCUGGCCUGGUCAGUCGGCGGCCGACAUCCUGUCUGGGGCGGCGUCCCACAGACGGUAAACCCAGGUAACUUCUGUGUGACUUCAACCCUCCAGAGGGCUUCAACCUCCGUAGGAACGUCUGCAUCCACAUUGCCUUCCUCCUGAAGACCCUGCUGAAGAUGGAGGAGACGGUACUGGUGCUAUUCCCUUGGGGCCACCUCUACCACUGGCAGAGCCCCGAUCCCUGGUCCGACUCCUUUGACCUCCCAAGUCUCAACAGAAACAUCCCUGACAUUGAGUACGAGCAGUUCAUUGCAGGCCUCUGAAUCCUCAGUCCAGGGAAGCUAAACCAUUCUAGCCUUCAUCGGUUCUGGGAAAGCAAUCUUCAGAGUGGGAAAAGACAUUGAAAAAUAAUAUUCUGUGAGUUGCAUUCUACCCUUGCCCAGAGAUGAGAAACAUCUGAAGGUGGAGGAAAACAGUUGGAGGGUUCACUUGGUGAUAAUAAUCAUAACCAAAGCAACAGCAAACCCUUACAGAACUCUGUCCUGCUGUUCCAGGAACGCUGUGUUCAUGACAACCCAAUGAGUUGGCACCACUAUGAGUUCCACUUUAAAGCAGUGCCUGCCACCCUGGCCUCCCUGCUCAUCUGCCUCAGUCAGGAGCACCUGGACCACCAGCUCUGUAUUGCCUCGCCUCCUACCAUCAAGACGUCAAAGUUCAUUCUCCUUCCACCACCCAGUAUGGUCAUUGUAGGGUCUUCUUCUCUGUCAGCCUGAGCCAGCCACCCCCCAUUCACCCUACCCCCGGGCUCAUACCCGGGCGUGUCUCCACCCCAGGUCCAGCCUCUCUCCUUUAAGUGCCCACCUCUAGCCGUCCAGCUUCUUCUCCACCAGCCUCCCUGGCCCUCCUUCACCCUCACUGGGGCAUCAUGUGCUGACUCCUCUGCUUUCCUGCCUGUCCACGUUCCUCUUACUUCCACUUCCCCACCUUCCAGCUCUGCAUCCACAGUCAGCACUCUCUUUAUGACAGACAAAACCCCCUUGAGCCUUGACUUUUUCAGUUCCUCACCAGGCCGACUUCCAUCUCGGUUCACCCAGCUCUACUUGUUCUGAGCCUGCAGGCAGCAGGCUCUCCCAGCACAGAUUUCCAAGACUACAAAUCAAUGCCCACCAUGUUGCCGCUGCCAGGCAAUCCUCCAGGAUUUCUCUAGUGAGCACAUUUCCCCACUUAUCACUCAGUGGUGUCAACAUUCUCUGCUCUCUGCACACCUCUAACCUUCCCUCUGUCUCUUCCCUGACUCCCAGCAGAUGGCCUUGCCUCCUGCUUCAGAGAGAAUGACAUGUCACUGGAAAGGAACUCGCUCACCUGCAGCAAACCUGCUCACCUCACCUUUUAUCUGUCCCUCUCCCACCUGGACUCUAGCUGUAGUUGUUCUUAAUUCAGUGAGUUUAGUUGACAUAUAUAUACACAGUUAAAAGCAUAGCACACUAUCGGCUACCUUCUAGGGGUUACUUUUUCAAUUUAACAUGGAGUGUGCGAUUCAUCCACUUCAUUGCAUGUACCUGCAGUUCAUUUGUUUUAACUGAUCUUAAAUGUUGUGUGUGUGAAAGUAACACAAGGCAAGGGUAAGCCAGGAUUCAGGAUGCUGGUUACUUCCUGUGAGAAAAGGCCAAGAGCAGGAUAGGGAAAGAGGACACAGUAUGUCACUGUCAAUAUUCCUGUUAUGAUGCUGGGUGAUAGGUUCAUAACUGUGUCUUAUAAUAUUAAUUUUAAUAUAUAAAUACCUCUGACAGGCACCUAAGAUGAGAAUGUGUCAUGAACCAAGACAUACAAUGGGUAAUAUUACAUCAUUAUUGUUAUGUAAUCUUGUUAUAUUAUAUAUUAAUCAUAAUCUUACAUUAUUUGUUAUGGGUUAUAUAUUAUAUAGAUGCAUGAAUUAUAUAUUAUGUGUAUAAACACCUACAUAUGUAUUAUAUACUAUCUGCUAAUAAAUAAACAGAAGAUAAUAUGCUAGUAUAUCUUCUAUUAUAUAUUAUUUAAUAAAUAAUAACAUACUCUAUCCUGUUAUAUGACAUGGAACAUAAUCUUUAAUAAAAUAAGAAAUCUGUCAAUAUA